UAGUGGCUGCAGAGGAAACAUCAACUUGGCCAAAAAGGGCAAAAAAGCAUAUAUGUUAAUUUCCUUAGAAAAGCCAUUAACGUACGAACCGCGAAAGCUGAAGAACAAGAGAGGAGGAGAAGUCUGCGAAAUUCAUAACACAAGUCUCUUCAAUAUCUACCAGGUUGGAUUCCUUAUUUUCCGGAGCUUCGGUUUCACUUUCUUUCUUCUGAAAAUCCUUUAUCUGGAGUUUUUAUUUAUUUUUUGUUCUUCUCAGUAACUUUUGGUUUGAGGUUCAUUUUGAAACACUCGAUUUUUUUUCUUUUCUUUUCUCGCUUUCCGUUUUUCAUCUACUGAUAGCUGAGUUUCUCUUUCCUAAUUUGGUCGCAAAGAUAUUGUUGAGUUGGAAAUUCUUCCUUAGCUCGAUUUAUUGGACUCUUUUCAAUUAUUUCUUGUUAUUCUUCCAAGAUCACUAAUCUUUCUGUAGUUUAUAUGUUUAUCAACAAAAGCAACAUUUUCUCACUUCUUUCCCGAUUCUCAUCUCUGAUCGGUCGGUUCUUGGUGGGAUACUUGGAUUUUGUGAAGAAUAGUACUCGUAGUAAUAAUAAUACAUUGUAGAUCUUUCUCUAUGUGAUGUGAAACCACUGGAUUUACUGCAUUUAUAAUACCCUCUCUAUUAAUCAGUUCAGGUACAGUGUUACGCCCACUUUGAUUCUGCUAAUAUAUAUGCAGGUAUAUGUAUAUGUAUAUGGAAUUUUUUGACUGUAUAAUUUACAGUAUAUAAUAACCUUGUGUUACGGAUGAAGAAGAGGGGAUAUGACGAGAAGAAAGAUACAGAUAAAGAAAAUAGACAGUGUAACAGCAAGACAAGUGGCUUUCUCAAAGAGAAGGAAAGGUCUCUUCAAGAAGGCAAAUGAACUCUCAAGUCUCUGUGAUGCUGAGAUUGCUCUCUUGGUCUUCUCUUCCACUGGCAAGCUCUUUGAUUAUGCUAACUCAAGUAUUCAGCAGGUAAUUGAAAGGUAUGAUCAACAUUCAGCCAUUCAAAUACAAGGUGAUGAGAACGAGCUGCACAAGGCAGUAGUAGCAGAAAAGACUCGUGAAUUGAGGCAGCUGAAUGAGGAAGAGCUUCAAGGAUGCACACUUGAAGAAUUCCAGACACUAGAGGAAAGACUUGAAAGGGACUUGUCCCGUGUUUCAAAAACAAAGGAUGAAAGAAUCUUAAAACAAAUCAAUGCACCUAAGAGAAAGGGAAUCCAACUGAAGGAAGAAAACCAAAGAACGAAGCAGGUGAUCGCAGAUUUUCAAACUCUUAUCCUCUAAGUUAUUGCCUCUUUUUUCAGAUGUUAUGAAAUGAAAGUCGUGUAACACAAAGAUACACUAGAGCUUUAUAUGUACAGAGCCUUGUGCAUGAACAAGGGCAGUCUUCUGAGUCCAUCAUCAUUUGCAGUUCAUCUGACAUUAAUCCUCCUCAAGACUGUGAUAGUUCUGAUACAUCUCUCAGGCUUGGGUUGUCUUCAUUCAAAUAAAAGCAUAAAUGUUGUUUUCCUUAGAGAAUUACACUUAUGAACAGCGAAACACGAUCUCUAGCUUCCAUUUAAUGAUCACUUAAAAACCAUUUUCUUUGUAUGUACGUACGUAUACGUACGUACGUAUCAUUUAUGUGUGCGUAGGGCUAUCAGGUCAAGCUGAGAGAACUGUACUACAACUCUCUCUCUCUCUCUCUCUCUCUCUCUCUCUCUCUACGUACACGCACACACACACGCACACACAUAUAUAAUUUUUUUUGGCUAAUUCGCUAAACACUGCAAUAGGAUAAGUAAUAG